UACGUAGGGUGCGAGCGUUAAUCGGAAUUACUGGGCGUAAAGCGUGCGCAGGCGGUUCGGAAAGAAAGAUGUGAAAUCCCAGGGCUUAACCUUGGAACUGCAUUUUUAACUGCCGGGCUAGAGUAUGUCAGAGGGGGGUAGAAUUCCACGUGUAGCAGUGAAAUGCGUAGAGAUGUGGAGGAAUACCGAUGGCGAAGGCAGCCCCCUGGGAUAAUACUGACGCUCAUGCACGAAAGCGUGGGGAGCAAACAGG
rnacentral:rRNA from 1 species